CCUACGGGUGGGCAGCAGUGGGGAAUAUUGGGCAAUGGGCGCAAGCCUGACCCAGCAACGCCGCGUGAAGGAAGAAGGCUUUCGGGUUGUAAACUUCUUUUCUCAGGGACGAAGCAAGUGACGGUACCUGAGGAAUAAGCCACGGCUAACUACGUGCCAGCAGCCGCGGUAAUACGUAGGUGGCAAGCGUUAUCCGGAUUUACUGGGUGUAAAGGGCGUGUAGGCGGGACUGCAAGUCAGAUGUGAAAACCACGGGCUCAACCUGUGGCCUGCAUUUGAAACUGUAGUUCUUGAGUACUGGAGAGGCAGACGGAAGUCCUAGUGUAGCGGUGAAAUGCGGAGAGAUUAGGAGGGAGGCGAGUGACGAAGGCGGUCUGCUGGACAGCAACUGACGCUGAGGCGCGAAAGCGUGGGGAGCAAACAGGAUUAGAUACCCGUGUAGUG
rnacentral:rRNA from 1 species